rnacentral:rRNA from 1 species
GACAGAGGGUGCAAACGUUGUUCGGAAUUACUGGCGUAAAGCGAGUGUAGGCGGUUUGGUAAGUCGGAUGUGAAAGCCCCCGGGCUCAACCCGGGAAGUGCACUCGAUACUGCCAAGCUAGAGUAUCGGAGAGGUUGGUGGAAUUCUCGGUGUAGAGGUGAAAUCGUAGAUAUCGAGAGGAACACCGGUGGCGAAGGCGGCCAACUGGACGAAUACUGACGCUGAGACUCGAAAGCGUGGGGAGCAAACAGG